AUAUCGACGGGAUGGUUUGGCACCUCGAUGUCGGCUCGUCGCAUCCUGGGGCUGUAGCAGGUCCCAAGGGUUCGGCUGUUCGCCGAUUAAAGCGGCACGCGAGCUGGGUUCAGAACGUCGUGAGACAGUUUGGUCUCUAUCCUCUGCGCUCGUUGGAAUUUUGAGAAGACCUGCCCAUAGUACGAGAGGACCUGGGUGGACGAACCUCUGGUAUGCCAGUUGUCGCGCCAGCGGCACGGCUGGUUAGCUACGUUCGGAAGGGAUAACCGCUGAAAGCAUCUAAGCGGGAAGCCUGCUUCAAGAUAAGAAUUCCAUGAGACCUCGAGUCUCUGAAGACUCCAUGUAGAACACAUGGUUGAUAGGCCGGAUGUGGAAGCCCCGUAAGGGGUGGAGCUGACCGGUACUAACAGUCGAAAGGCAAUCAUAC
rnacentral:rRNA from 1 species